rnacentral:rRNA from 1 species
AUUGAACGCUGGCGGCAGGCCUAACACAUGCAAGUCGAGCGGAGCGGCGGACGGGCGAGUAAUGCCUAGGAAUCUGCCUGGUAGUGGGGGAUAACUUCCGGAAACGGGCGCUAAUACCGCAUACUUGCAGUUGACCCUAGGUCGGAUGAGCUAGUUGGUGGGGUAAAGGCCUACCAAGGCGACGAUCCGUAACUGGUAUGAGUGGAUGAUCAGGCACACUGGAACUGAGACACGGUCCAGACUCCUACGGGAGGCAGCAGUGGGGAAUAUUGGACAAUGGGCGAAAGCCUGAUCCAGCCAUGCCGCGUGGGGGAAGAAGGUCUUCGGAUUGUAAAGCACUUUAAGUUGGGAGGCGUUACCAACAGAAUAAGCACCGGCUAACUUCGUGCCAGCAGCCGCGGUAAUUC